rnacentral:lncRNA from 1 species
UUCUCCAAGCUCCCUAGACAGCAAGUGUGAGGCAAGGAAAUGUAGCCAGACAGACAGACAUGUUUUCUCUCCAGAUGCUUUCUUCCUUCACAACCCUCCUCCGCCCCCCACCCCACACAGAAACCUCUGCUACCUAACUUUCAGAUAUUUCUUCACUGAAGUGAAUUUCACCAUUUCUGUUGUAUUUGAUACUUUAUAAGUUUUAAUAAGAUGCUAUACAUAAAUUCUAUAUCAUUGAAACUAGAAAUAUUUUUAGAACUAAAUAAAACUCAAUAAGAGAAUAUACAUUUUUGUCCCAAACAUCCUAUGUGGCUACUUACAUACCAUCCUAGUUUUAAGCAUGUAAGCAUCAUUACAAAAUUUUUGCUAUUAAAGCAGCCCACAUAUUAUAACUUUAGCCCACUGACUAAAAGAAUUUUAAAAUUUGUGCCAAAAGUACUCUUGAAAGUAUCACUUAUUUCUUAGAAAAACUGAUAUAUAUAUAUAUAUAUACAUACAUACAUAUAUAUAUAUUUAAUCAAGCCUGAAUUUUUCUCAGACCUCUUUUGCAUUUUGUGUAAGAGCCCAGAUUCACGUAUGAAACGUGAUUUACUAUUACGCCAUAUGUACAGUAAUACGCUAUUUUUCCCCCAAACUGUGUUACAGGUUUCUUUGAUACAAUUCCUCAUUGAAAACUGUCUCAAGAUAUUUGGAGGAAGAUAUCACUUCUCUCUUUGGAGAGAACUCAGUGAGUUGUGAUAACAGUGAUAUCACUGAUAACAGUGAGAUUUCAGACAAGAAGACAGUUAGUAAGAGUUCUGUCAAAAACUGGGCCUUCUGGUGUCGCUCCAGGACUCGCGAGGACAACCAACACCCACCUCUACCACCCAGAAAGCAAAAACAGCUCUUUGGAGUUGCUCUUGAUGAUGUAUGUGAUAAUGACACCCUGCCCACCCCAAUUCUGGAGAUGCUUUCCUUUAUCAAUCAAAAAGGGCCGUUCACAGAAGGCAUCUUCCGAAAAUCAGCCAGCAUAAAAUCAUGCAGAGCCCUAAAGAAGAAACUAAACGCUGGACACAAAGUUAACUUUGAUGAUGAAUCCGUUCUCGUAGUAUCAUCUGUCUUAAAGGAUUUUCUUCAAAAUAUCCAAGGAAGCAUCUUUUCAGCCCGUCUCUACGAUAAAUGGCUUGAUGUUAUUGAUCAAGGGAAUGAGGAGGAGAAAAUAACUGCGACCCAGAGGCUUGUAGACCAGCUACCGAAAGCCAAUGUAGUGUUGUUGCGAUACCUUUUUGGAGUGUUACACAACAUUGAGCAACAUUCUUCAUCCAAUCAGAUGACACCUUAUAAUUUAUCCGUGUGUCUCGCCCCAAGCAUCCUUUGUCUGCUUAAUUCUGGAAGCUCAGCAUUUGAAAAAGUCAACAAAAAGGUUUCUUUGAUACAAUUCCUCAUUGAAAACUGUCUCAAGAUAUUUGGAGAAGAUAUCACUUCUCUCUUUGGAGAGAACUCAGUGAGUUGUGAUAACAGUGAUAUCACUGAUAACAGUGAGAUUUCAGGGACAACAGAACAAUCUCUUGAAUCCAAGCCAGUGAGGGUGACAAUGAUUUACGAGAAGGUACAACUGCAAUAUGAUGCUAUGACCUCAUCAAGGAUGGGUCCACCCACUGACCUGUCUACAGUAUUCUAAAUCCCUGAAGAUUACAGUCCCCAUAAUCACACUUUACCCUUCCUUUUUCUUUAUCCUAUAGUAUCUCACUUCAAGAACACUUAGUUAUAAAACAUUUGCACGAUUUUGUUGAGUUUGAAUUAAAUGCUCAGAUAUAUCCAGAAAUACAUGAAUUUCCUGGCACAAGAAUGAACAUGAGGCACUUAUUCCAAGAAAACCACUUUGGAUCAUUCAGUGAAAAAGAAGACCUUUCAAGGUCCCAGCUUAUACCAUUUCAGUUUUUCUUGACCCUGUAUAUCCAUAUUUGAGAAAAUAUUCCCCCAGAGUAUCUCUUCUUUCAUUCCUACCAUAUUAUAUUAUUUUUUGUACGGUAUUAUACAUUUUUAUAUUGAUGCAAUAAAAAUAGGUUAGAAAACCA